CCUACGGGAGGCAGCAGUGAGGAAUAUUGGUCAAUGGGCGCGAGCCUGAACCAGCCAAGUAGCGUGAAGGAUGACUGCCCUACGGGUUGUAAACUUCUUUUAUAAGGGAAUAAAGUGAGGCACGUGUGCCUUUUUGUAUGUACUUUAUGAAUAAGGAUCGGCUAACUCCGUGCCAGCAGCCGCGGUAAUAUGGAGGAUCCGAGCGUUAUCCGGAUUUAUUGGGUUUAAAGGGUGCGUAGGCGGAUUAGUAAGUCAGCGGUAAAAAUGCGGUGCUCAACGCCGUAUCGCCGUUGAAACUGCGGGUC
rnacentral:rRNA from 1 species